rnacentral:rRNA from 1 species
GACGAACGCUGGCGGCGUGCUUAACACAUGCAAGUCGAACGGAAAGGCCCUGCUUUUGUGGGGUGCUCGAGUGGCGAACGGGUGAGUAACACGUGAGUAACCUGCCCUUGACUUUGGGAUAACUUCAGGAAACUGGGGCUAAUACCGGAUAGGAGCUCCUGCUGCAUGGUGGGGGUUGGAAAGUUUCGGCGGUUGGGGAUGGACUCGCGGCUUAUCAGCUUGUUGGUGGGGUAGUGGCUUACCAAGGCUUUGACGGGUAGCCGGCCUGAGAGGGUGACCGGCCACAUUGGGACUGAGAUACGGCCCAGACUCCUACGGGAGGCAGCAGGGGGGAAUAUUGCCCAAUGGGCGGAAGCCUGAUGCAGAAACGCCGCGUGCGGGAUGACGGCCUUCGGGUUGUAAACCGCUUUCGCCUGUGACGAAGCGUGAGUGACGGUAAUGGGUAAAGAAGCACCGGCUAACUACGUG